AGGCAUGACUGACACCAAGCUGUUCCCCAGUGAGGGAGGCUGGCUGAUGUGAGGAAUGUUAGCAAAACAAAACAUGGAGGCAGUCAGACCUUCUUAAAGGGAAGCCACAAGUGAAGCUAUGUUCUGUUACCUGGGACACACACUGAGACAAACAUCAGCUGGUACAUCCCAAGGUCCAGGACUACAUGCUGAGGGACACACUAAAGCUUGGACCAGCUAUUGUCAAGAUCUUUGUUUUUGACUUGUUCAAGUGUCAUUGGGAUCGGGGAGCAGAAAUCAGCCUGGGUUACUGUUCUCUGCCUUCUGCUGAGGAUGUGGGUAUUGGGUGAAAACUGGGGCUUGAUUCCUCCAUACAAAUCAAGCAGCUCGAGAAGACCAACUGUGGAGAUUCAAGAAGGAAAGAAAACAACACCACAUGACAGGGAGGGUCGGAAAAACAGCUCCAUCAUAUACACAACCGGUGGACUGAUUGAUGACAUGUUCAGAAGGCAGCGCUCAGUCAGAAACAAAUUGGGAAAACAACCCUUCACCAAGAAUUCAAAGAUUUACAGAUUCUACUAUUGCUGAGGAUAUAAGUCAACCAUUAAACCAUGAUCUCAGGGUAACUGGAUCAGCCUCAGGGGCAAGGAACUGAGAAUGCAGCAGCUUUCAAAUGGAGCUGACAGUGCUGCCUGUUCAAUCAACUGGAUCUGGAGGUUUCAUCUGUAAAAAAGCACAGAUGUAUUUAUUUUAUUGCUUUAAUAAAUUGUCACUUAUAUCGAGGUACAACAAAAAGUGGAUAACGUUGCCACAUUCCUAUGCCAUCUCAGACAAAUGAAUGAAUAUAUCUUAAAUGGUAAAUGGUAAAAUACUGAAUAGAUUCAUAUUAGACUGACAUUUUAAAACUAAAACAAUUCAUCUCUCCCUCUCCAUAGCCUUCACUCUCUCUGCUCCUCUAGUCACCGCUGUCCGACAUGACCCCGGGGUCCUGGCAAUCUGCUCCUUUUUACCACCGCCAGUGAUAUCACUUGCACAUCUGCCGUCUCUGAGGUUGUCCUCUCUCUGAGACAGCCAAUAGGGUCCUGGCUCCAAGUUGACCAAUAGGGUCCUGGAUCAUCUUCUGAUGCUGCCACCCGAGCUAGAGCGGGGAUGGAGAUACACGGGACCUUGGUCUCCCACAGGAGGACAUCAGGAGGAGGCUGCCAGGCAACAAAAAUGACUAAAAUAAAAGCCUUACCAAACUGGAAAGGCGGUGAUGACGUCAUGUGGAUGUGGCAGAAUCUGUUGCAUGAGCCAUUAAUGGCUGAGCUCUGUGCUCAGGAGCCAAACACUGCUGCCCGCUGUUGCUGCCAUCUUGGUUAAGGAGAUGCGCUGGGAGGGCGGCCAUAUUUGGGGAGAGGGGUGUAUGGCAAAUAUGGUGGGAGCUGGCCAUUCUGAGCAGUGACUUUUCCUCCCAAAUGGCAACAAAUUUUUAAAAAACAAUCAUUUAUUGGGUGGAUGAAGAGAACUGUCAAAGGUGAAGAUCACAAAGACAGGGUAUUUGUGCAACAAGCAAUCUACUCCCAUAACUUGGAGAUGCCAGUGGUGGACUGGGGUGUACAAAGUUAAAAAUCACACAACACCAGGUUAUAGUCCAAU